rnacentral:tRNA from 1 species
AAGGACGUAGUAUAAUGGUAGUAUCAUCGAUUCCAAUCCGAUUUGUGGAGGUUCAAUUCCUUCCGUCCUUG